rnacentral:rRNA from 1 species
UACGGAGGGAGCUAGCGUUGUUCGGAAUUACUGGGCGUAAAGGGCGCGUAGGCGGUUUGCUAAGUUGGAUGUGAAAACUCUGGGCUUAACCCAGAGCCUGCAUCCAAAACUGGCAAACUUGAGUACUGGAGGGGAAAGCGGAAUUCCUGGUGUAGCGGUGAAAUGCGUAGAUAUCAGGAGGAACACCGGUGGCGAAGGCGGCUUUCUGGACAGUAACUGACGCUGAGGCGCGAAAGCUAGGGGAGCAAACAGG